CCUACGGGAGGCAGCAGUGGGGAAUAUUGCACAAUGGGCGCAAGCCUGAUGCAGCAACGCCGCGUGAGGGACGACGGCCUUCGGGUUGUAAACCUCUUUUAGUAGGGAAGAAGCGAAAGUGACGGUACCUGCAGAAAAAGCACCGGCUAACUACGUGCCAGCAGCCGCGGUAAUACGUAGGGUGCAAGCGUUAUCCGGAAUUAUUGGGCGUAAAGAGCUCGUAGGCGGUUUGUCGCGUCUGCUGUGAAAACUGGAGGCUCAACCUCCAGCCUGCAGUGGGUACGGGCAAACUAGAGUGCGGUAGGGGAGAUUGGAAUUCCUGGUGUAGCGGUGGAAUGCGCAGAUAUCAGGAGGAACACCGAUGGCGAAGGCAGAUCUCUGGGCCGUAACUGACGCUGAGGAGCGAAAGCAUGGGGAGCGAACAGGAUUAGAUACCCUGGUAGUCCAUGCCGUAAACGUUGGGCGCUAGAUGUGGGGACCCAUUCCACGGUUUCCGUGUCGCNGCUACGCAUAGCGCCCGCCGUCGGGAGGUACGGCCGCGACGACGUAAACUACAAUAGAAGUAGACGGCGNGAGACGUGCCGACGGACGACGACGAGGGAGGUAGG
rnacentral:rRNA from 1 species